UACGGAGGGUCCGAGCGUUAAUCGGAAUUACUGGGCGUAAAGCGUACGUAGGCGGAUUGUUAAGUCAGAUGUGAAAUCCCGGGGCUCAACCUCGGAACUGCAUUUGAAACUGGCAAUCUAGAGUAUUGUAGAGGGUGGUGGAAUUUCCAGUGUAGCGGUGAAAUGCGUAGAGAUUGGAAGGAACAUCAGUGGCGAAGGCGGCCACCUGGACAAAUACUGACGCUGAGGUACGAAAGCGUGGGGAGCGAACAGG
rnacentral:rRNA from 1 species